UCAAAUGACUCUCGGCAACGGAUAUCUCGGCUCUCGCAUCGAUGAAGAACGCAGCAAAAUGCGAUACUUGGUGUGAAUUGCAGAAUCCCGUGAAUCAUCGAGUUUUUGAACGCAAGUUGCGCCCGAAGCCUUUUGGCCGAGGGCACGUCUGCCUGGGCGU
rnacentral:rRNA from 4 species